rnacentral:antisense_RNA from 4 species
UGUUAUGGCGGCUGUACGUGGGGACCUUCGGGUCGUCCGGGUUUCUCUGUUCCCCGGGUUUCCAGCCUGCGUACAGCUGCCACCCCU